UUUGAAACCUAGCGGAGGGAGGAGGCAGGCGCGGCUGCCGGCGGCUGGGACUGAAGAGGGACUGGUCCCCGCGGCGAGCGAGCUCCUGAGGUACGGCGUCGGGAAACAUGCCAAGGGACAAGUGUUAUUUGACAAAGUGUGUGAACACCUCAAUCUCUUGGAGAAAGACUACUUUGGACUUUUGUUUCAGGAAAGCCCUGAGCAGAAAAACUGGUUAGAUCCUGCUAAAGAAAUAAAGAGACAACUGAGAAACCUUCCAUGGCUAUUCACUUUUAAUGUGAAGUUUUAUCCUCCUGAUCCUUCUCAAUUGACUGAAGAUAUCACCAGAUACUUCUUGUGCCUUCAGCUCCGGCAGGACAUUGCCUCUGGCCGCCUGCCCUGCUCUUUUGUGACUCAUGCUCUCCUGGGAUCCUACACCCUGCAGGCUGAACUUGGUGACUAUGACCCAGAAGAACAUGGCAGCAUCGACCUCAGUGAAUUCCAGUUUGCCCCUACUCAGACUAAGGAGCUGGAAGAGAAGGUGGCAGAGCUGCACAAAACCCACAGGGGC
rnacentral:sRNA from 1 species